rnacentral:rRNA from 1 species
GGAUGAACGCUAGCGGCAGGCUUAAUACAUGCAAGUCGAGGGAUACAGAGAGUUAGCAAUAAUUAUCUGGAAACCGGCAAACGGGUGAGGAACACGUACGAAACUUCCCUUUAUCUGGGGCAUAGCCCGAAGAAAUUCGGAUUAAUACCCCAUAACAUAGAGAUGUGGCAUCACAAUUCUAUUAAAGCUCAGGCGGAUAAAGAUGGUCGUGCGUCCCAUUAGAUAGUUGGCGGGGUAACGGCCCACCAAGUCUACGAUGGGUAGCUGAUGUGAGAGCAUGAUCAGCCACAUGGGCACUGAGACACGGGCCCAACUCCUACGGGAGGCAGCAGUAAGGAAUAUUGGUCAAUGGACGCAAGUCUGAACCAGCCAUGCCGCGUGGAGGAUGAAGGUCCUCUGGAUUGUAAACUUCUUUUAUAGGGGGAGAAACAUCCCGAUUAUUCGGGACUUGACGGUACCCUAUGAAUAAGCACCGGCUAACUCC